CAGCCGUAAACUAUGCGCGUUAGGUGUAUCGGUGACCACGAGUCACCGAGGUGUCGAAGGGAAACCGUGAAACGUGCCGCCUGGGAAGUACGGUCGCAAGGCUGAAACUUAAAGGAAUUGGCGGGGGAGCACCACAACAGGUGGAGCCUGCGGUUUAAUUGGACUCAACGCCGGGAAGCUCACCGGAUAGGACAGCAGAAUGAUUGCCGGGCUGAAGACCCUGCAUGACUAGCUGAGAGGAGGUGCAUGGCGUAGACGUCU
rnacentral:rRNA from 1 species